CACCUUUUACCUGUCCAUGACCAAAGUCUAGAACACAUUACACGCCAAGUGCUGGCGGGGCUGUGAAAGCCACCAAGCUCUCAGCACUGCCUUCUUUGGAAGAGUUUCUGACAAAACUAAACAUACCCUAUCCUUAUGAUCUAGUAGUUGAGCUUUAGUAUUUACCUAAAUGAGCUGAAACUCCUGUCCACACAAAAGCCUGCACACAUGUUUACGGCAGCUUUAUGAAUAAUCACAAAAACCUGAACACAAGGGAAGACAUCUUCAGUAGGUGGACAGACAACUGAUGCAUCCAGACAACAGACGAGUACUUGGUGCUAAAAAGAAAUGAGCUUUCAAGCCGUAAGACAGCAUGGAUCUCAGAUGUGAAUUAAGUGCUGGACCUUAACUGCCAGGGUGACGGUACCGGGGACAGGCCUCUGGGAGGUGAGCUCCUGCCUCUUGCAGGGGGCCAAGGCCCUGAUGGAGAGAGGCAUCCUGCAGCGCCCUUGCCUUGCAAGGUGAAGACACAGCUGACAGGCACCAGCAUCAUGACCUUGGACUUCAGCCUCCAGAACUGAGAAGAGCUCCUGUUCUGUGAUUAGUAGAAACAACUGCCCUUGGAGAAUCUAACUGGUUCAUCCCACGCCCAUGGCUGAGAGGGGUUGAAGACAUUUUGCAGAUGCCACCCUCCAGCUUAGCACAGGCCAGGUCAGUGUUUGAGUAGCUGCUGCCAGGCUCCUCUCAGAUCCCUCCUAUAGCGUCACGGUGCACAAUUCUGGCUGUGCCACAGCCGGGGACUGAGUGCUGAGCUCCCGUGGCUGUGUGGACAGGUGUUCUGUGCAGGCUACACUGGAGCCCUCCACCAGCCCUGCAGAUGGGAAUGGACACCCAGCCCGGCCGCACAAUGCCUGCCUACCGCAGCAAAAGCACAGGAAGCAUCCCUUGGAAUGCAGAAGAAAUUCUGCUCUUUCUGAGCCACCUCAGGCUACAAGGCUCCCCUGGUUUACGUGGAGGAAGUGCUGAGUGCAAGGCCUUGGAGGAAGCAUGUAUGGGUUCUGAAGAGUGGGUCUCCCAUGGCCUCUAC
rnacentral:lncRNA from 1 species